GCUGCUGGAACACUGCAGAGCAAACGCAAACCAACAGCCAACAUGCUGCUGGCUCUAUGGAGUCCUCUGACACCACUUCUCUUUUGUUUCGACCCUUUCCCUCAAUCUUGCUUUGGAAAUUACUGCCAAAAACAGUGCUCCCCACAGGUCAGGACCUGAGAUUCAGCAGUCUCGCCAGACUCACAGUGCUGUAACAACUCCAUCAGGCAGUUUCUGAUGUGGCCGUUAGCUCCUGACUCCAACAGGAUCUUUGAAGCAACCUUUGAAGAUGGGAGAGAUGGUCCCCUUUGUGCUCGUAAACAAAGGUGGCCUCCGCCACCAUCACAUCCUCCUCUAACCCCUGAGGCUGAUAGGAUCCUGAUGGGUUUUCAAUCAACUUGAGGUCAUUUAUUACAGCUUUGAGCAUCAUUCGAAUUUAAAUCAACCGACUUGAGGUUUUCGAGGCCUGUACAAUCACCCCGUGGCAGAGGGCUGACAGUGCCAUUUGCCUUUCAGAAGACAAAUAACUAUGAUAAAUGUCCUUCCAAACUAAACAGCACUUUGGAAAAAGUAAAAAGGAAUUUUAAUCCAACUAGCAGAGAUUCUAUUUACAUUUUCCAAAGUAAUCCUAAGUCAAAAAUCUAAGGACACUUCGGAGAAAAAUGAAAAAAGAGCCUAGGCAAUAAAUGUCUUUUCAAAAGAGACUUGGCCCAUGGGGAAACUUUUCAACAGAGAGCAUGGCCCCACUGACCCAGGAGGGAGAGAAGCAUCCUCAUGGGCAAAUCAGAGACUGGAUCAUGAAAAAUGUCCGCAACUCACCUGACUCACCAACAAAUCACGGCUGCGGCUGACACCGGUGUGCAAAGCCAGAGAGGAAGCGCUGGGACCAUUUGUCUGUGUCACAUUAUUAGACAGCUUUCCAGUGGCUACUUUAUUGGGGGGAGUCUUGCAAUGCAGACAGCUUAAACUUGGGUUUUGCGUGUAAUUUGCUAUUUUAGAGCAGUUUAUUUCUCUCACCUGCAUACCCCAUGGGGGAAGACGCACUGAUUACUUUAAUUCUAACAUUUGGAGUGGAACCCAUUCAUGAAACUUUCUGGCUGUGUGAUUCAAACGAAGGCUUCUCUUUCCUCUUUUUGUUCUCACAAGAAAAUCAAUUCACUUGAAGAGCCUCUUAAUCCCAUUUUUGCAAUCAACAAUUGCCACUUGUAUAUCGCUCUAAUAGAUUAAGAAGUGGGAUGAUGCGGUUGUCUGGUCUAAUUCAACCCUAUUCAGGUGGCUGCAGCCCGAGGCACUUUGUAGUGCCAAGUGCAGAGCUCGACAGGAAGACUUUUGCUAUCAUAAUUUCCUGUGGAGCUAUGCACUGCCCCCACUGAGGAGCCUGAAUUACUUUGAAUUAGGCUCGACAACCACAGAGAGUCGAAAUCCAGCAAGCAACAAUAACCAACUCUUUGAGCAUGACUUGCAUGGGUUAUUUUUUUCUUUGCAUUAGCACAGAAAGGAUGAAUUUCAAAAUGCACAUCUAUUUAAAUGACAGCAACCUGCCAUAAAUCAAGUGUGAAACAAAAGAGAAAACAGUUGAAGUGAGAGAGAAGUUGGAGUGGAGGAAAAAUUAAUCAAAACAGUUUUCAAAAACUUCAUAGUUUGAGCCUGUGAAAAAUUUCAGGCCUACACUAUCACCAUGACAACCCAGAACAAGCCCAUGUUGGAUAACCACAUCAGAAAGGGGCUGUUUUGUAAGGAUGAAGCCCUCUCAUAUCCAUCCUAAGUUCAAGUCUCACUUCUGAAUGCCUUAAAAAAAUCACAAAAAUAAAAAUGUAAAUAUAAAAAGGUAUCCAGGCUUCUUUGGUGCUCUGGUAACAGGCAAAUCUUCUUGUGUGAUUUUAAAAUGAUUUUAUCAUGAAGUCCAUUCUAACCCCCAGGCAGGCAUCACCUCAGGUAGGCGAUGUUUGAAUCAUAAAG